rnacentral:rRNA from 1 species
UACGUAGGGUGCAAGCGUUGUCCGGAAUUAUUGGGCGUAAAGAGCUCGUAGGCGGUCUGUUACGUCGGCUGUGAAAACCUAGGGCUCAACCUGGGCCUGCAGCCGAUACGGGCAGACUAGAAUUCGGUAGGGGAGACUGGAAUUCCUGGUGUAGCGGUGAAAUGCGCAGAUAUCAGGAGGAACACCGGUGGCGAAGGCGGGUCUCUGGGCCGAUAUUGACGCUGAGGAGCGAAAGCG